CAGCAGCCGCGGUAAUACGUAGGUGGCAAGCGUUGUCCGGAAUUAUUGGGCGCAAAGCGCGCGCAGGUGGUUUAAUAAGUCUGAUGUGAAAGCCCACGGCUCAACCGUGGAGGGUCAUUGGAAACUGUUAAACUUGAGUGCAGGAGAGAAAAGUGGAAUUCCUAGUGUAGCGGUGAAAUGCGUAGAGAUUGGGAGGAACACCAGUGGCGAAGGCGGCUUUUUGGCCUGUAACUGACACUGUGGCGCGAAAGCGUGGGGAGCAAACAGGAUUAGAUACCCCGGUAGUCCCUGUCUCUUAUAA
rnacentral:rRNA from 1 species